GCUAGUGUAGCUUAACAUCAAAGCAUAACACUGAAAAUGUUAAGAUGGGCCCUAGAAAAGCCCCACAAGCA
rnacentral:tRNA from 1 species